CGGCCCCUAAGGCGAGGCCGAAAGGCGUAGUCGAUGGGAAACGGAUUAAUAUUUCCGUACUUGGUAUAAUUGCGAUGGGGGGACGGAGAAGGCUAAGCAAGCAUGGCGAUGGUUGUCCAUGUGAAAGUGAGUAGGUUGAGAGUUUAGGAAAAUCCGGACUCUUAAGACUGAGACACGAGACGAGCCACUAAGGUGGUGAAGUUGUUGAUGCCAUACUUCCAGGAAAAGCCUCUAAGCUUCAGAUUAUACCGAAUCGUACCCCAAACCGACACAGGUGGUCAGGUAGAGAAUACUAAGGCGCUUGAGAGAACUCGGGUGAAGGAACUAGGCAAAAUCGUACCGUAACUUCGGGAGA
rnacentral:rRNA from 11 species